GGCCUCCCUCUUUGGGGCAAUCGAUCGUGGGGCUCUGUGAUCGGUUGCCCAGCAGAGGGAGGCC
rfam:Myotis lucifugus cont2.12661, whole genome shotgun sequence.